rnacentral:rRNA from 1 species
AGACAACAGGGAUUGCCCCAGUAACGGCGAGUGAAGCGGCAACAGCUCAAAUUUGAAAUCUGGCCUCGGCCCGAGUUGUAAUUUGUAGAGGAUGCUUUUGGUGAGGUGCCUUCUGAGUUCCCUGGAACGGGACGCCAGAGAGGGUGAGAGCCCCGUAUAGUUGGACACCGAGCCUCUGUAAAGCUCCUUCGACGAGUCGAGUAGUUUGGGAAUGCUGCUCAAAAUGGGAGGUAUAUCUCUUCUAAAGCUAAAUACUGGCCAGAGACCGAUAGCGCACAAGUAGAGUGAUCGAAAGAUGAAAAGCACUUUGAAAAGAGGGUUAAAUAGUACGUGAAAUUGUUGAAAGGGAAGCGCUUGUGACCAGACUUGUGCCGGGCUGAUCAUCCAGUGUUCUCACUGGUGCACUCUGCCCGGCUCAGGCCAGCGUCGGUUCUCGCAGGGGGACAAAAGCUUCGGGAACGUGGCUCCUCCGGGAGUGUUAUAGCCCGCUGCUCAAUACCCUUGUGGGGACCGAGGUUCGCGCUCUGCAAGGACGCUGGCAUAAUGGUCAUCAGCGGCCCGUCUUGAAACACGGACCAAGGAGUCGAGGUUUUGCGCGAGUGUUUGGGUGUAAAACCCGCACGCGUAAUGAAAGUGAACGUAGGUGAGAGCUUCGGCGCAUCAUCGACCGAUCCUGAUGUAUUCGGAUGGAUUUGAGUAAGAGCGUAUAGCCUCGGACCCGAAAGAUGGUGAACUAUGCCUGAAUAGGGUGAAGCCAGAGGAAACUCUGGUGGAGGCUCGCAGCGGUUCUGACGUGCAAAUCGAUCGUCAAAUUUGGGCAUGGGGGCGAAAGACUAAUCGAACCAUCUAGUAGCUGGUUACCGCCGAAGUCCCCCUCAGAUAAAAAGC